GAUCAAUGAUGAAAAAUAGCCAAAUCUGAGAGCUUGGACAUUUGUGUCUCAAGCCGAUGAUUAUCACUGAGA
ensembl:snoRNA small nucleolar RNA U2-19